rnacentral:rRNA from 1 species
CUGUAAACGUACGCACUGUGACGAUAUCUUAUCAGAAGAGAUCGCUAAGUACGUCCCAGCAGCGUCAGUAUUUCGUCGUCCUGAGAGUGUCCGCAUUUAUCGGGCGUAUAGCGAGGGCAGGCGGCUAUAUAAGUCGAAGUUCAAGGCUGUGGUUUACCCUAGUAUGCUGUGUAAUCUGUUAACUGCGAGUGCAGGAGCGGAGAGUGGAAUUAACAUGUGUACACGGCGUAAUGCGUAGAUAGAUGGAGGAGCGCAGGUGAUGAAAUCGGCUCUCCAGUCUUUAGAGCAUGAUCAUGCUCUACAGCGCAGAGAGCAAACAGGGUCAGAUACGUUGGUAGUCCUAUCUGUACACGAUGAGUGCUAGGUGUUAGUCCCUCUCUGGGGCUUAGUGCCGCAGCUAACCCAUUUAGCACUCAUCCUGGGGAGUACGAACGCAAGUUAGAAUCUCAAAGGAAUAGCCGCGGGCCCUCACUAGCGGUGCAGCAUGUGGUGUAAUUCGUAGCAACGUGAAGAUCCUUGCCAGGUCUGGCCAUCCCUUAGCCCUCUCUAUAGAUAGAGUUUUCGUUCCGGACAGAGGUGUCAGGUGGCGCAUGGUUUUUGUCAGCUCGUGUCGUGAGAUGGAGGGGUAAGUCCCGCAACGAGCGCAACCCUUAUCGGUCAGGGUUCCCGGUUAGGCCGGGAACUCAAAGGAGACUCCCAGUGAUGGAGUGGAGGAAGGUGGGGAUGACGUCAAGUCAUCAUGGCCCUUACGAGUAGGGCUACACACGUGCUACAAUGGCGCAUACAAAGAGAAGCGACCUCUAGAGAGCAAGCGGACCUCAUAAAGUGCGUGCAAGUCCGGAUUGGAGUCUGCAACUCGACUCCAUGAAGUUGGAAUCGUUAGUAAUAUUAGAUCAGAAAGUUAUGGCGAAUACGUUCCCGGGCCUCGUACACACCACCCGUCCCUCCACGGGACAGGCAAGCAAAAGAAGUUGGUAGCUUAACGUUCGGGAGGGCGCUUACCAGUCUGUGAUUCAUGAGUGGGGCGAAGUCGAGGCAAGGUCUCC